AAGAGGAGACGGAGAGAUUCAGGGAGGAGCUGAGCUGUUACUGAACUAUAGAAGAGAGAGGAACUUCCAUAUUCAGCACAGUUCAAUACACAAACCAUCAACAUUACCUUUAUUCAACAUGCUGUCAUUGGACUAUUAUGGACUGUCUCUACUGUUUGUCUCUACUCUAACAGGAGUCAGCUGUAAAGAACUGACUCCAGUCAAGACUGAAGAGUUCAGUUCAGAAGGCAGCACUGUUACUCUGUCCUACAACUACUCCAGAGGAGCAACUAGUGAUGAUCGUUUCUUCUGGUAUCGACAAUAUCCAGGAAAACAACCAGAGUUCCUCAUCUUUCACUUGGGAAAUCAAAAUGAAACAAAGUCUGGACUGUCAGUUACAGUGAGUGGUGAUAAAACCAGAAUGGAUCUGCAGAUCUCCUCUGCUGCAGUGAUUGACUCUGCUCUGUACUACUGUGCUGUGAAGCCCACAGUGACAGCAAACCCACAGUCUCUGUACAAAAACACAAGCUGACACACUGACAAGCUGCUGGAAGCCUUUUCUCCACACUGUUGAACUCUACUUUUUACCUCCACUAGAGGGCCACAUUAUCAAGUAGGCGGUGCACUACUUCCUCACUGUGUUCAACCACUGUGUCAAUAAUAACUGCUGCUGUGAAGAGAACAACUGUCAGAGUGAAUGUUGAACAUCAGCUAGUUUCUCCUGUUGAUUUAAACCUUGUUGUAGAGAUGGAAC